GAUGAACGCUAGCGGCAGGCUUAAUACAUGCAAGUCGAGGGGCAGCAUGAUUGUAGCAAUACAAUUGAUGGCGACCGGCAAACGGGUGCGGAACACGUACACAACCUUCCAACAAGUGGGGGAUAGCCCAGAGAAAUUUGGAUUAAUACCCCGUAACAUAGCGAUGUGGCAUCACAUUGCUAUUAUAGAUUUUUCGGUUGUUGAUGGGUGUGCGGCUGAUUAGAUAGUUGGCGGGGUAACGGCCCACCAAGUCUACGAUCAGUAGCUGAUGUGAGAGCAUGAUCAGCCAAACGGGCACUGAGACACGGGCCCGACUCCUACGGGAGGCAGCAGUAAGGAAUAUUGGACAAUGGACGCAAGUCUGAUCCAGCCAUGCCGCGUGAAGGAUUAAAGUCCUCUGGAUUGUAAACUUCUUUUAUAAGGGACGAAAAAAGGCUUUUCUAAGUCGUCUGACGGUACCUUAUGAAUAAGCACCGGCUAACUCCGUGCCAGCCGCCGCUGUAAUAC
rnacentral:rRNA from 1 species